rnacentral:rRNA from 1 species
CCUACGGGGGGCAGCAGUGGGGAAUAUUGGACAAUGGGGGGAACCCUGAUCCAGCCAUGCCGCGUGUGUGAAGAAGGCCCUCGGGUUGUAAAGCACUUUCAGUGAGGAAGAACGCCUGGUGGUUAAUACCCAUCAGGAAAGACAUCACUCACAGAAGAAGCACCGGCUAACUCCGUGCCAGCAGCCGCGGUAAUACGGAGGGUGCGAGCGUUAAUCGGAAUUACUGGGCGUAAAGCGCGCGUAGGUGGCUUGAUAAGUCGGUUGUGAAAGCCCCGGGCUCAACCUGGGAACGGCAUCCGGAACUGUCAAGCUAGAGUGCAGGAGAGGAAGGUAGAAUUCCCGGUGUAGCGGUGAAAUGCGUAGAGAUCGGGAGGAAUACCAGUGGCGAAGGCGGCCUUCUGGACUGACACUGACACUGAGGUGCGAAAGCGUGGGUAGCAAACAGGAUUAGAUACCCUGGUAGUC